GUGAUAGCUCAGUGGCAGAGUACAUGUUUUGCAUGCACAAGGUCCUAGGUUCAACUCUCAGCAUCACUA